rnacentral:rRNA from 1 species
UACGAAGGGGGCUAGCGUUGUUCGGAAUUACUGGGCGUAAAGCGUGACGCAGGCGGCUUCUCAAGUCAGGGGUGAAAGCCCAGAGCUCAACUCUGGAAUUGCCUUUGAGACUGAGUGGCUUGAGUACGAGAGAGGUGAGUGGAAUUCCCAGUGUAGAGGUGAAAUUCGUAGAUAUUGGGAAGAACACCGGUGGCGAAGGCGGCUCACUGGCUCGUAACUGACGCUCAUGCACGACAGCGUGGGAGUCAAACAGG